CGGACGGGGGCUGUGGACGCAAGGAAGCAGUACCCAGUGGCAGACGGGUGAGUAACACGUAGGCGACCUGCCCUGAAGAGGGGGAUAACGGCUCGAAAGGGCUGCUAAUACCCCAUGAGCUUCUCCGGGUUAGAGGCUGGGGAAGGAAAGGGAGCGAUCCGCUUCAGGAGGGGCCUGCGGUCCAUCAGCUGGUUGGUAGGGUAGCGGCCUACCAAGGCGAGGACGGGUAGGGGGCCUGAGAGGGUGGUCCCCCAAACUGGGACUGACACACGGGCCAGACUCCUACGGGAGGCAGCAAUGGG
rnacentral:sRNA from 1 species